rnacentral:rRNA from 1 species
CAGUCGCCGCGGUAAUACGUAGGGUGCAAGCGUUAAUCGGAAUUACUGGGCGUAAAGCGUGCGCAGGCGGUUUGUUAAGACAGAUGUGAAAUCCCCGGGCUCAACCUGGGAACUGCAUUUGUGACUGGCAAGCUAGAGUAUGGCAGAGGGGGGUGGAAUUCCGCGUGUAGCAGUGAAAUGCGUAGAUAUGCGGAGGAACACCGAUGGCGAAGGCAGCCCCCUGGGCCAAUACUGACGCUCAUGCACGAAAGCGUGGGGAGCAAACAGGAUUAGAUACCCGUGUAGUCCCUGUCUCUUAUAC